rnacentral:lncRNA from 1 species
AUGCUGUGGGUACACAUGUCUGUGGCAAGUCACAGGCGUGUGCAUGUCUCCUGUGUGCCUGUUAUGCUGUGCACGGUGCUGUGCGUACACAUAUGUGUGGUGUGUCGCAAGCAUGUGCGUGUCUCAAGCGUGUGCGUGUCUCCUGUAUGGCUGUCACACUGUGUGUGCACGUAUGUGUCUGUGGUGUGUCUCCUGUGCACCUGUGGCACUGUGCAUACACAUGUGUCUGUGGCGUGUCGCAGGCAUGUGCAUCUCUCCUCUGUGACUGUUACACUAUGUGUCUGUGGUGUGUCUCCUGUGCACCUGUGGCACUGUGUGGCACUGUGUGUACAUGCAUGUGUCUGUGGCGUGUCACAAGCGUGUGCGUGUCUCCUGUGUGGCUGUUACACUGUGUGUGCACGUAUGUGUCUGUGGUGUGUCUCCUGUGCACCUGUGGCACUGUGUGGCACUGUGUGUACAUGCAUGUGUCUGUGGCGUGUCACAAGCGUGUGCGUGUCUCCUGUGUGGCUGUCACACUGUGUGUGCACAUAUGUGUCUGUGGUGUGUCUCCUGUGCACCUGUGGCACUGUGUGGCACUGUGUGUACAUGCAUGUGUCUGUGGCGUGUCACAAGCGUGUGCGUGUCUCCUGUGUGGCUGUCACACUGUGUGUGCACGUAUGUGUCUGUGGUGUGUCUCCUGUGCACCUGUGGCACUGUGUGUACAUGCAUGUGUCUGUGGCGUGUCACAAGCGUGUGCGUGUCUCCUGUGUGGCUGUUACACUGUGUGUGCACGUAUGUGUCUGUGGUGUUGCACGUGUGUGUGUGUGCACCGUGCAUAUGCAUUGUGGGUAUCUCGGCCCAUCUCCUGACCUUGGGGCCUGGGCCAUCUACCUCCCCUCCCCCCCAGGGCCGCCCAAGGCCAAGCCCUCACACGGCGUCACUGCCCCAAGGCCCAGGGGCCAGCGCUGGGCUUGGGUUCAAAUCCCUUCUCAGACACAGACGGGGCCCUUUCUCCCCCGCACUCCCCAAGGGUGGCUGCGCCUGACCCCCAGAGACCCACCCUGGCGGCAGGCCCUCUGCCAGGGCCCAGCGCUCUCUGCCCGAGCUUGGAUCCCUCCUGUGGUUCAGGACUCCGCUGAGCCCCUGGGGGGCCAGGCCUCUGACACCCCCCCCCCCCCCCCCCCCCCCCCCCCCCGCCCCCCCCCCCCCCCCCCCCACCGUGAGUUCCCCCAGGUCAGGACCCGGCCCAGCGCCUCCUCUGCCUGCCCCUCCCCUCCCCCCGUGCGGGGCGGUGUGCGGACACACCUGGGGCUUACCGGGCAGCGGGGAGGCCUCUCUUGGCCAGGUCCGCUCUGA